AUUACAUUUCGUGCUCAGCACUUUCAUUACAUUAUUGAUCAGUUAUUACAUUUCAGGUUUUAUUGCCUUUUUUUUUUGUGUAACAAUUCAGGCCGUCGUUAUAUAUCAAUCUCUAACAUGUUUAUUCUAAUGUGUGAUUGUAAAAAACUAACAUUUCCUGUUACUUGAAGUGACUUUUUUAACUUAACCAAAUAUCCACUGUAAAUCCACUAUAUGUUCUAUCUGUUCACAUUUUAAACUGGCAGAGUGUUAAUCACAGGUCUAUCUGUCAGGUGUGUGUGUGUGUGUGUGUGUGUGUGUGGUUUCACUGCCUGGAAUCGGACAGAGAGCCCCUGACUUCCUCUCAUUUGCUCACAGAGCUCCACAUUUCACCAACAGUGAUGAAUCUCCUCUGACUCUCAUCAUUAUGAUCGAUGAUUCGUGCUUCAGUGAAAUGGCCAUGAGUAUGUGUUACAUCCUAGACGGGAUUAUGCUGCUGUACGGCAUCAUUCUCACCGUGUCAUACUGCCUAGUGAGGACACGUUCAAAAAGAAAAGCCCUUGAGAGGCAGUCUGCAGGGGAAGGCAUCUAUGCAGGCUUGACGUCUAAAACUGACGACACUUACGAGACCAUCGAAAAGAAAAAGAAAAAGAACAAGAAGUCUUCUACUCGAUGAACACAUUUGUCCGGAGAUGCUUUUUAUGGUUUUUGGACAUUUUAAUUGUUUGGCCUACAAAAUACACAAAAGGACCAAUAAAACACACAAAAUUACUUGGAAAAACA
rnacentral:lncRNA from 1 species